rnacentral:misc_RNA from 1 species
GAUGAAGAACGCAGCGAAAUGCGAUAAGUAGUGUGAAUUGCAGAAGUACCGUGAAUCAUCGAAUCUUUGAACGCAAAUUGCACUCUCUGGUAUUCCGGGGAGUAUGCCUGUUUGAGGGUCGCUUAACAAACCAUCGAUUUCGUUGCUUUUUUUUUUAAAGUGAUGUUUAUCGGAUUUGAGCCGUCUUUUUUUUUAUAUUUAAGUGGCUUAAAAUUGAUUUUUUUGGUACGAUCGAAGCGUAUUUUUAUGAUCAAUUUUUGGUUAAAGAAACGCAAACGUACCGUUAUUUAUAUGAUGUAAUACGUUUGACUAUUGGAUUUAGUUCAUUCGUAUACGAUAUCUUUCAAUAUUUGACCUCAAAUCAGGUAAGAACACCCGCUGAACUUAAGCAUAUCAAUAAGCGGAGGA